UACGAAGGGGGCUAGCGUUGUUCGGAAUUACUGGGCGUAAAGCGCACGUAGGCGGACAUUUAAGUCAGGGGUGAAAUCCCGGAGCUCAACUCCGGAACUGCCUUUGAUACUGGGUGUCUUGAGUGUGGAAGAGGUGAGUGGAAUUCCGAGUGUAGAGGUGAAAUUCGUAGAUAUUCGGAGGAACACCAGUGGCGAAGGCGGCUACCUGGACCAGCACUGACACUGAGGCACGAAAGCGUGGGGAGCAAACAGG
rnacentral:rRNA from 1 species